CCUAUCCCUGUGUGCCUUGGAGUCUCAGAGGGUUCGAUUCUGGCUCAGAACGAACGCUGGCGGCAGGUCUUAGGCAUGCAAGUCGAACGGAUGACAGAGAGCUUGCUCUCUGAAGUCAGUGGCGCACGAGUGAGUAACGCGUGGGAAACUGCCCUUCACUGGGGAAUAACGUUUGGAAACGAACGCUAAUACCGCAUACGCCCGCAAGGGGAAAGAUUUAUCGGUGAUGGAUGUGCCCGCGUUGGAUUAGCUAGUUGGUGGGGUAAUAGCCUACCAAGGCGAUGAUCCAUAGCUGGUCUGAGAGGACGAUCAGCCACGCUGGAACUGAGACACGGUCCAGACUCCUACGGGAGGCAGCAGCUAAGAAUAUUGGGCAAUGGAGGAAACUCUGAACCCCCAGCCAUGCCGCGUGAAUGAAGAAGGCCUUCGGGUUGUAAAGUUCUUUUAGUCAUGAAGAUGAUGACAGUAGUGACAGAAAAAGCACCGGCUAACUUCGUGCCAGCCGCGGC
rnacentral:rRNA from 1 species